GUCCUUGAAGUGUAGUGGUUAACACAUUGGACUGGAAUACCAAAGUCGUGAGUUCGAUUCCCACCAAGGGCA
rnacentral:tRNA from 1 species